UUAAAUUACUCCUGAAACUGUGCAAGCUGAAAUAUUGAAGUUUUGAAUUCUGUGAUGCAUGGACCAUACUGUUUUGUGUGAGAUUCUUUUGGCAUGGAGUUAUUCAUGAGAUAUCUGCCUUUAGGUCUCGUCUAUAAUGUGUCAAGUUUUCAGAAUUUAUUAAUGUCAUUUACUAAUUUUUCUGGAGUUUUAAUUAGAGGAAUGCAUUCUGAUUUAUCCGAAACAUUGAUGUGUUUUGAAAAAUGAAUGAAAUUAUCCAUGUGAUGUAAUACCUUGAGUGGUUGAUCUUGCUGCAUAUGUGAUGACAUAUGACAUGUUAUAUGGCAUGAAAAGUUGGUUGAGAUCUUUGAUAUUAUUGCAUCGAAUAUCAUGUUGAAAAUUGAGAUACAUGUGUG
rnacentral:lncRNA from 1 species